UACGUAGGGGGCUAGCGUUGUCCGGAAUCAUUGGGCGUAAAGCGCGCGUAGGCGGCCCGGUAAGUCCGCUGUGAAAGUCAGAGGCUCAACCUUUGAAUGUCAGCGGAUACUGCCGGGCUAGAGUCCGGAAGAGGCGAGUGGAACUCCUGGUGUAGCGGUGGAAUGCGCAGAUAUCGUAAGGAAGACCAGUGGCGAAGGCGGGUCUCUGGACAGUUCCUGACGCUGAGGCACGAAGGCCAGGGGAGCAAACGGGG
rnacentral:rRNA from 1 species